UGGUAGUCCAAGUGCAGUGCUUACAAUCAACUGAUCACAGCUAGUUACAGAUUCCUUUAUUCUUUCUCUACUCCCACUGUUUCACCUGACUAUCCUUAA
ensembl:misc_RNA Y_RNA Y RNA